rnacentral:rRNA from 1 species
AGUGAACGCUGGCGGUGGGCCUAACACAUGCAAGUCGAACGGCAGCACACUACGAGCUUGCUCUUCCGGGUGGCGAGUCGCGGACGGGUGAGGAAUACAUCGGACUCUACUUUUUCGUGUGGGAUAUCGUAGGGAAGCUUACGCUAAUACCGCAUCCGACCUACGGUUGAAAGCAGUGGAUCUUCGGAGCUUGCGCGAUUGAAUGAGCGGAUGUCGGAUUAGUUAGUUGGGGGGGUAAAUGCCCACCAAGGCGACGAUUCGUAGCUGGUCUGAGAGGAUGAUCAGCCACACUGGAAGGGAGACACGGUCCAGAGUACUAAGGGAGGGAGCAGUGUGGAAUAUGGGACAGUGGUCGCAAGCCUGAUCCAGCCAGAGCGCGUGGGUGAAGAAGGCCUUCGGUGUGGAAUGCCGGUUUGUGGGGAAAGAAAAGCAGCAGGUUGAUACGCCGCUGGACUGACGGUAACCAAAGAAUAAGCACCGGCUAACUUCGUG